rnacentral:rRNA from 1 species
GACGAACGCUGGCGGCGUGCGUAACACAUGCAAGUCGAACGGAAAGGCCCUGCUUUUGUGGGGUGCUCGAGUGGCGAACGGGUGAGUAACACGUGAGUAACCUGCCCUUGACUUUGGGAUAACUUCAGGAAACUGGGGCUAAUACCGGAUAGGAGCUCCUGCUGCAUGGUGGGGGUUGGAAAGUUUCGGCGGUUGGGGAUGGACUCGCGGCUUAUCAGCUUGUUGGUGGGGUAGUGGCUUACCAAGGCUUUGACGGGUAGCCGGCCUGAGAGGGUGACCGGCCACAUUGGGACUGAGAUACGGCCCAGACUCCUACGGGAGGCAGCAGUGGGGAAUAUUGCACAAUGGGCGGAAGCCUGAUGCAGCAACGCCGCGUGCGGGAUGACGGCCUUCGGGUUGUAAACCGCUUUCGCCUGUGACGAAGCGUGAGUGACGGUAAUGGGUAAAGAAGCACCGGCUCCCUACGUU